AAGAAUGUUAGAGAUCUGUUUGUUGAUGCUGAAAUGAUCAGAGGACUCGCGGUGAUGAAAGUGAUUUGCAUGUCAUAAUCUUUGAUGAAAUUGAUGCUAUUUGCAAGUCGAGAGGAUCAACCAGGGAUGGUACUGGAGUUCAUGACAGUAUUGUGAAUCAACUGCUUACAAAGAUAGAUGGUGUAGAGGCUUUGAAUAAUGUCUUGCUCAUUGGAAUGACCAACAGAAAGGAUUUACUUGAUGAAGCCCUAUUGAGACCAGGACGGUUGGAGGUUCAAGUUGAGAUAAGCCUGCCUGAUGAGAAUGGUCGUCUACAGAUUCUUCAAAUUCAUACAAAUAAAAUGAAGGAAAAUUCCUUUCCUGCUCCUGAUGUGAACCUUGCAGAACUUG